rnacentral:rRNA from 1 species
AUUGAACGCUGGCGGUAUGCUUUACACAUGCAAGUCGAACGGUAACAGGCCGCAAGGUGCUGACGAGUGGCGAACGGGUGAGUAAUGCAUCGGAACGUGCCCAGUCGUGGGGGAUAACUACUCGAAAGAGUAGCUAAUACCGCAUACGAUCUAUGGAUGAAAGCGGGGGACCGUAAGGCCUCGCGCGAUUGGAGCGGCCGAUGUCAGAUUAGGUAGUUGGUGGGGUAAAGGCUCACCAAGCCAACGAUCUGUAGCUGGUCUGAGAGGACGACCAGCCACACUGGGACUGAGACACGGCCCAGACUCCUACGGGAGGCAGCAGUGGGGAAUUUUGGACAAUGGGCGCAAGCCUGAUCCAGCAAUGCCGCGUGCAGGAAGAAGGCCUUCGGGUUGUAAACUGCUUUUGUACGGAACGAAACGGCUCUGGUUAAUACCCGGGGCUAAUGACGGUACCGUAAGAAUAAGCACCGGCUAACUACGUG